UCUUAGUGAUGAACAAAGACAGUGGUUUCCUGAGAUGGAAUCUACUCCUGGUGAAGAUGCUGUGAA
rnacentral:pre_miRNA from 1 species